rnacentral:rRNA from 1 species
UACAGAGGUCGCAAGCGUUGUUCGGAUUCACUGGGCGUAAAGGGUGCGUAGGCGGCCGGGUAAGUCUGAUGUGAAAUCCCGCAGCUCAACUGCGGAACUGCAUCGGAUACUGUCCGGCUAGAGGAAUGGAGGGGAGACUGGAAUUCUCGGUGUAGCAGUGAAAUGCGUAGAUAUCGAGAGGAACACCAGUGGCGAAGGCGAGUCUCUGGACAUUUCCUAACGCUGAGGCACGAAAGCCAGGGGAGCAAACGGG